rnacentral:rRNA from 1 species
GACGAACGCUGGCGGCGUGCUUAACACAUGCAAGUCGAACGGUGAAGCGCCUUCCUUUUUGGUGGGUGUGGAUGAGUGGCGAACGGGUGAGUAACACGUGAGUAACCUGCCCCCUUCUUCUGGAUAACCGCAUGAAAGUGUGGCUAAUACGGGAUAUUCUGGGUCUGUCGCAUGAUGGGUCUGGGAAAGAUAUUGUUUCGGUGGGGGAUGGGCUCGCGGCCUAUCAGCUUGUUGGUGGGGUGAUGGCCUACCAAGGCGGUGACGGGUAGCCGGCCUGAGAGGGUGGACGGUCACACUGGGACUGAGACACGGCCCAGACCCCUACGGGAGGCAGCAGUGGGGAAUAUUGCACAAUGGGCGCAAGCCUGAUGCAGCGACGCCGCGUGAGGGAUGGAGGCCUUCGGGUUGUGAACCUCUUUCGCCAGUGAAGCAGGCCUGCCUCGUUUGUGGGUGGGUUGACAGUAGCUGGAUAAGAAGCGCCGGCUAACUACGUG